UCUUCCCAUUCACGUUGCUGCGUUGGUCAGACUACAAGGAGAAUGCUCUGACGUCAACGUCUUACGUCCGCUGGGGUUUAUUUACGAGGGAACAAGACCAUUUCUAAUAUACACUUGCGCAUCGCAAGUCGAAGCAAGAUACCGGAAAUGGUGGGUACGAAGGCACGUGAAGAACGCCUCUACUCUUUGCCCACCCAAUCAAUAUUUGGACGAUAAUGAAGUUGCCGACCUAAGAGGGGCUCCUAUGGUUCAUUGAUGAAGAUAUUGGGGGAUAUAGCGCUAACCGUCUGGUUGAAGAUUGGAGUGAUUGGUAUAAUCGGUUUCAAAACUAUGUCGCCUAUUUGCUCAA